AUUGAACGCUGGCGGCAGGCCUAACACAUGCAAGUCGAGCGGUAGCACAGAGAGCUUGCUCUCGGGUGACGAGCGGCGGACGGGUGAGUAAUGUCUGGGAAACUGCCUGAUGGAGGGGGAUAACUACUGGAAACGGUAGCUAAUACCGCAUAAUGUCGCAAGACCAAAGUGGGGGACCUUCGGGCCUCAUGCCAUCAGAUGUGCCCAGAUGGGAUUAGCUAGUAGGUGGGGUAAUGGCUCACCUAGGCGACGAUCCCUAGCUGGUCUGAGAGGAUGACCAGCCACACUGGAACGGAGACACGGUCCAGACUCCUACGGGAGGCAGCAGUGGGGAAUAUUGCACAAUGGGCGCAAGCCUGAUGCAGCCAUGCCGCGUGUGUGAAGAAGGCCUUCGGGUUGUAAAGCACUUUCAGCGGGGAGGAAGGCGGUGAGGUUAAUAACCUCAUCGAUUGACGUUACCCGCAGAAGAAGCACCGGCUAACUCCGUGCCAGCCGCCGCGGUAAUAC
rnacentral:rRNA from 1 species